GACGCUGCCGGCGUCGCCGUCGAACCUGACCAUGAUGUCGUGGCCGCGGUUGACGAUGGAGGCCUCGGCGGCGCGGUAGGAGUCGUCGAGGUAGCCGAGGUCGCGCACCAGCUUGACCCGCUCGUGGGAGAGGUCGAUCGGCGACUGCAUCUCGCCGGCGCCGCACUGCGCCCACUCCGGCUUCAGCUUGCCCCAGUGCUCCGGCCCCUUCUCGUCCCCGCUGAUGUACGUG
rnacentral:lncRNA from 1 species